GGAUCUACUUGCCUGUUUUGAACAGAUCAACAUAUUGACUGAAUAAAUUCGCCAACAACUUUGUGCCAAAAUGAAGGUCCAUUAUUUCAUAAUAAUCCUUGCAGAGUUACUGCUUUUGUGCCCAUUAUAUUCGCACGCCAGUUGCCACUGUGAACAAAUAACAACUUAUAACAACGGACGUCGUGUUUGUUCAUGUAGGCCAGGAUACGUUGUCAGCAGCAGAAACCCACACAAGU